rnacentral:rRNA from 1 species
AUGGACGAGGAACCAUUAGGAAGGAAAGGUGUGUAUCAACCAAGAAGCGGAGCUAGGUGUGCCUGGUCUGCGGCGACGACCUUUGGGCCAACAACACAUGGACAUUUCAGAGAUAAGCUAUUGCAUCAGAACUUUGCUUGGCGAACAUCCGGGACACUCGGGUACAUAAGAUCCAGGAGGGUUGGUGCGGCAAGUAUGACACCAAAUGUUUCUAAGGUUACCCAUGGCAGAUUCUGUGCAGAGAGCACACAAGGAUCGAAGCAGCAAAACCAGGGCGAAACAGAGCAAACACAAAAGAAGAAACGUAUGCUACAUACAGUCGAUGUGAUCCUUCCAACACCGCCGUCGGGGGUCCUUCUGCCUCAGCCAGGACCUCUUCUGCCCUGCACCGCUGCUGUGAACCUAUCCAUGCGGACAGCCACCGCCAUGCUACAGCUGUCGCAACCUGCAGCAGGUUCAAAAUUCAACCUGUUUUGCUAUAAAUGGCCUCCUGCACCGUUGUAUACAAAGCUGAAGUGGGUACCACAGCCAUGA